rnacentral:rRNA from 1 species
AGGGCACCACCAGGAGUGGAGCCUGCGGCUUAAUUUGACUCAACACGGGAAAACUUACCCGGCCCAGACACUGGCAGGAUUGACAGAUUGAGAGCUCUUUCUUGAUUCAGGGGGGGGUGGUGCAUGGCCGUUCUUAGUUGGGGGAGCGAUUUGUCUGGUUAAUUCCAAUAACGAACGAGACUCUAGCCUACUAAAUAGGCCACCGGCUUACUGACGUCGGUGGGACUUCUUAGAGGGACAGGCGGCGAUUCAGCCGCACGAAACAGAGCAAUAACAGGUCUGUGAUGCCCUUAGAUGUCCGGGGCCGCACGCGCGCUACACUGAAGUGAUCAGCGUGCAUUACAAACCUGCUCCGUCAGGAGUGGGGAACCCAAUGAACCUUCUUCGUGAUUGGGAUAGGGGAUUGUAAUUAUUCCCCUUGAACGAGGAAUUCCCAGUAAGCGCGAGUCAUAAGCUCGCGUUGAUUACGUCCCUGCCCUUUGUACACACCGCCCGUCGCUACUACCGAUUGAAUGACUU